rnacentral:rRNA from 1 species
GAUGAACGCUGGCGGCGUGCCUAAUACAUGCAAGUCGAGCGAACAGACGAGGAGCUUGCUCCUCUGACGUUAGCGGCGGACGGGUGAGUAACACGUGGAUAACCUACCUAUAAGACUGGGAUAACUUCGGGAAACCGGAGCUAAUACCGGAGAAUAUAUUGAACCGCAUGGUUCAAUAGUGAAAGACGGUUUUGCUGUCACUUAUAGAUGGAUCCGCGCCGCAUUAGCUAGUUGGUAAGGUAACGGCUUACCAAGGCAACGAUGCGUAGCCGACCUGAGAGGGUGCUCGGCCACACUGGAACUGAGACACGGUCCAGACUCCUACGGGAGGCAGCAGUAGGGAAUCUUCCGCAAUGGGCGAAAGCUUGACGGAGCAACGCCGCGUGAGUGAUGAAGGUCUUCGGAUCGUAAAACUCUGUUAUUAGGGAAGAACAAAUGUGUAAGUAACUAUGCACGUCUUGACGGUACCUAAUCAGAAAGCCACGGCUAACUACGUG